rnacentral:rRNA from 1 species
GACGAACGCUGGCGGCGUGCUUAACACAUGCAAGUCGAACGGAAAGUCCCUGCUUUUGUGGGGUGCUCGAGUGGCGAACGGGUGAGUAACACGUGAGUAACCUGCCCUUGACUUUGGGAUAACUUCAGGAAACUGGGGCUAAUACCGGAUAGGAGCUCCUGCUGCAUGGUGGGGGUUGGAAAGUUUCGGCGGUUGGGGAUGGACUCGCGGCUUAUCAGCUUGUUGGUGGGGUAGUGGCUUACCAAGGCUUUGACGGGUAGCCGGCCUGAGAGGGUGACCGGCCACAUUGGGACUGAGAUACGGCCCAGACUCCUACGGGAGGCAGCAGUGGGGAAUAUUGCACAAUGGGCGGAAGCCUGAUGCAGCAACGCCGCGUGCGGGAUGACGGCUUUCGGGCUGUAAACCGCUUUCGCCUGUGACGAAGCGUGAGUGACGGUAAUGGGUAAAGAAGCACCGGCUAACUACGUG